rnacentral:rRNA from 1 species
UACGGGGGGGGCAAGCGUUGUUCGGAAUUACUGGGCGUAAAGGGCUCGUAGGCGGCCAACUAAGUCAGACGUGAAAUCCCUCGGCUUAACCGGGGAACUGCGUCUGAUACUGGAUGGCUAGAGGUUGGGAGAGGGAUGCGGAAUUCCAGGUGUAGCGGUGAAAUGCGUAGAUAUCAGGAGGAACACCGGUGGCGAAGGCGGAUCUCUGGGCCGUAACUGACGCUGAGGAGCGAAAGCAUGGGGAGAGAACAGG